AAAUGAAGACAGAUGAAAAAAAAAAUAGAAACCUGAGUGAGAAAUGAUUUUUCUUUCAUUGUUUUUCUUUUCUCAUUCUCCUUCAAAAGCAUACUCUUUUCUUUCUCUAAACUACGAAAGGACAGAAUGGCAUUGAGGGAGAAUGGGGCAAGACUGAGAGAGUAAGCUGGCCAUCUUCCGUUUGUUUAUUUGCUUGUUCUCUUCUGCUAGCAAAGAGAAAUA
rnacentral:ribozyme from 11 species